GGAUAUUUCCUCCCAGGUUAUGGUUUUCAGACCUUGGACUGUGAGUUAAAACACAAGCUCCCCUAGUUCUCAUGUCGUUGGACUUGAAUUGAAUAACACACCUGGCUUUGUUUGCUGGACAAUCGAUAGGCUACCAUGAAGCUCCUAUAUUCCUGUGGGCCAUUCCUAUGGUAUGUAUAACUCAUUUUUUAUGUAUCCUUUUUACAUUUUUCUCUGGACAAUUUUGAGCAAUAAAUAUUUUGGUACCAAGGAAAGUUAUAAAGGAACAGUAGUAUUAAGAGUUUGGAAGCUGGCCAGUGGUGGCACAUGACUUUAAUGCCAACACGUGGGAGACAGAAGCAGGUGGAUUUCUGAGUUCGAGGCCAGCCUGGGCUACAGAGUUCCAGGAUAGCCAGGGCUACACAGAGAAACCCUGUCUUGAAAAACCAAAUAAGGAAAAAAAAAAAAGAGUUUGGAAUGGCUCUGUUUUAGUUAGGGUUUCUAUUGCUAGAGACAACAUGACCAAGGCAACUCUUAUAAAGGACAGCAUUUAAUUGGGGCUAGCUUUUCUAAAGUUCAGUCCAUUCUUAUUAUAGUGGAAUGCAUAGCAGCAUCCAGGCAGACAUGGCACUGGAGGAGCUGAGAGUUCUACAUCUUGUUUCUAAAGCAAACAGAAGACUGGCAUCUUCAGGCAGCUAGGAGGAAGCUCUCAAAGCCCACCCCUACAGUGACACACUUCCUCCAAAAAUCACACCCAUUGAAAAAGGCCACACCUCUUCAUAGUGCCACUCCCUGAGCAAAGCAUAUUCAAACACAUUAGUCUAUGGAGGCCAAACCUAUUUAAACCAAUAUAGGUUCUAAUCUGAUCAUAUUGUAGAAAAUGAUAAUGACUUGAUUUUUCAAUGGAAAAAAAAGCACAGUUAGCCCAUGACAUGAGAUCUUUAGAUAAACACACAAAAUAUCAACAUGGGAUCUUCAGACCUUGGAACUUACAGCAAAGUUUGCUGAUCUCUCUCAGGCGUUCAAUCUCAGAGUGGGAUUUACAUCAUCAGCAACCAUGAAGUAUGGCCCACACGUAAGUUACUCCACUAAAUUUGUUCCUUAUUCAUGUUACAGAUGAAGGACUUCCCAACUUCCAUCAUCUUGUAAACCAGAACCUAAAAGAUUUAUUUAAAAAAAUCUUUGUCAGAGAUAGAGAUAGAGAUAGUGAUAGAGAUAGAUGAUAGCUAGAUAGAUAGAUAGAUAGAUAGAUAGAUAGAUAGAUAGAUAGAUAGAUAAAGUUGACUAUAGAUACAGAUCUAUACAUACUACUUGUUCUGUUUCUCUGAGGAAAAUGUACUUGGAAAUUACUAGCUUUGUUAGUGAUUCUUGUGAUUCUUAAAAGUCAAUGAAGGCAAUAUUCUACCCAAACUUCAUCCAUUAGCAAUUUGUAUUCGUGCAAAUUCUCUAUAGUUUACAUCUCCUGAGAUAGUUUCAAGUUUAAAUAGAAUAUCAUCAGAUAAACUCAUGUGGCUAUCAUAGGCUAAUACUGCUAAAUUUCAACCCAUGGGAUAAUUUAAAAGAAAAUUAAAUUUAGAUUUCCAAUCAAUAAACUGAAGUUAUGGCUCAUUUUAUAAUUAGCAGUUCUUUUUGCCUGUCUUACAUAGACCUUUAAAUGCAUAUUU
rnacentral:lncRNA from 1 species